AUCCACCUGACGAGUCCCAAAUAGGACGAAACGCGCGUUCUGGAU
rfam:Schistosoma mansoni strain Puerto Rico chromosome W, complete genome